CUGACUAAUGGCCUGCAGUCGCAGCUGGCCAGGCCUGACCGGGGAGGGGCCCUUGAGGGCACCGCCAUCCCCACGGCACGUCCCGGCAGGUGCGCUCGGCCGCCUGCCCCCAGGAACAGCUGCUGAUGGGGCGGGCGAGAGACUGGGUCUUGGUGGGGGCGGGCUGGCAGCCCCCGCUCUGCUGCAAGCGUGGCUCUGGGGUCCAGUGCUCAUCAGCUAAGCAGAGUUGGAGUGUGAAAGCCAGGCUGAACCUGCCUAAUUGUGCCUGUGAAGGCUAUUCAGAGAGACCGUUCUUGGAAGGAAAUCAGGACGAUUAGCUCUUGGCUGCAGCGAGAGGGGAAGCGAGCUAAUCAUGGAAAUUUUGGAGCGGCCAUACGCGUUUCCCACUGAGCACCUUUGUGGAAUCCUGAGCGAUGAAGUUUCCAGAGGGUGGCAUGGCUGAGAGCAACGGUGGCCUCUGAGGACACGUGGCCAGGUAGCUGAUGUCCCCAGGACCCCGUUCCGCGCGGGGAGGAGGCUGGGCGAAGCUAACUGGGCUGCCAGCACCACAGAGGGGACCCACUGUUCCUGACCCCAGCCGCUCCUUUUGGACACGAGAGAUAAGUAGUGUAACGACUACAUGAUAUAAAAUGGUUUGAAACAAGGUCUGUAAACAGCAUCAUGCCAACAGGCACUCAGGGGUAUGUGACUAGCAUCCUCUCCUGGGUGACCCGUGGUAGGAGUGGAGGCAAACCACAACAGAUGAAGGAGGUGAAGAGGUCAGGGAGGAUGCUCCCCCUGAAGAGACUGGAAAGGACACGCAGCUGAUUGGACUUGGGGUUCGGCUGGGUCCCUGUUCACCCUGUUCACUGCGGGUGUGUGUCGUGUGCCCUGUGGCUCCCUGGGGCUUCUCUUUGCUGACUUCUCCCUGCUCACUCUGCUGAGUACAGCGGCCCUCCCACAGCCCACGGCGUCUGAAGGUGGAAAGGGCGGUGGGAGGCACGGAGGGAGUUUGCCGGUGGGCUUGCUGGCCCAGCGGUCCUUCUACCCGUGGGGCCGAGUAGGAGGGUGGCCUGUGGCAGGGGAUCUCUGUCCGUCGGCCUCCCCCGGCCCUCUCCGCUGCCUACCUGCCAGGAACACACAAUUCCGUCCUAAUGCCUUUUCAAUAAAGCCUUAAAGAUGA